UACGAAGGGGGCUAGCGUUGCUCGGAAUCACUGGGCGUAAAGCGCACGUAGGCGGAUUGCUAAGUCAGGGGUGAAAUCCUGGAGUUCAACUCCAGAACUGCCUUUGAUACUGGCGACCUUGAGUCCGGGAGAGGUGAGUGGAACUGCGAGUGUAGAGGUGAAAUUCGUAGAGUAUUCGCAAGAACACCAGUGGCGAAGGCGGCUCACUGGCCGGUACUGACGCUGAGGUGCGAAAGCGUGGGGAGCAACAGG
rnacentral:rRNA from 1 species